CCCUCUCUAGUUUGCGUUGUUGAUCGGUUGAUGCUGCUUGUUUUGUUUCUUGGCAGUCUCUACGUUUAUAUGUUACGGAAAAAUGAACAACUACUGCAUUAUUCAGACGACAUAAAAUGAACACACUCUUUUAUCUGUGCUACCUUCUCUAUGGAUUGUUAAAAACGGAUGGAAAUCCAAUGAAAAAAGGAUUCACAUAAUACUGAUGGUGAUGAUUUGUGUUACUGGCCGCAAGGCGUUGCGGGAUGUCGCCUACUCGAGAAAACCAAGAAAAAUCCCAGUAUAAAACCGGAUACAAAGGUGCUGCGUGCUUUUAGGUGCAAAAUAAAAAGGACAAAAUUUGAAAGCUAUUUUGAGGCGUUCCGGGAAUUAAAGAUAAUGGAGGCGAAUUCGGAUACCGACGAAUAUGCAAACAUGAAGAGUCUGAGAAAAGUUUCAACAGCUACUGAACUUUUCAACCAGAUCCAGCAAACAAAGCCUGUACCAUCUCCGGAACUCAAAUAUUCGAACAAAUACGCAGAAUUCGCAGAGCCUCCAGAUUUUGCGCGACCUGACCAUAAGAUUGAUAUGCGAUACAAUAGUUCUUCGCUGUUGGAGUCGAAUAUGAGUGAAAAUGAUUUCUGUGGUCUGCCACAUACAUUAUUAUUGAAUCAGCCUCCAGUUAACGAUGAUCUAUGACGCCGGAUCUGUGCAAAGUACUGCAGGCAUUGCAUGUGGAGGUUGAGAGGAACAGUAAUAAGAUUGAAGAAUGUAAACUUGUUGGUAACAGAUCUAUUGCACUUUUUUCUCAAGUCAAUGCGAAACUAGAUUUGCUUGCAAACCAAGUCAAUAUCAAACUUGACACCUGUGUUUCACAGAAGUUACUGCGAACCGAACAGAAUGGAACUGAAUCAAUCAGUGCUCCCUUGAGCCCGGUUAAAAGUGAAGAAGAAUUUAAAUCUUUGGAAAAGAAAACUGAUAAUAAGCAGUUUGUUGAAGCUGUUAUCAAAUAUCUUGGUUUCAUGCAUGGCAAGAGCCGGUAUGUUGGGGAAGGCGGGACUGUUUGCCUGCAAAUCGUGGACUAUUUUUUCGACCGAGAGUUUUUAAUGAAUUGCUCAUGGACUGGAACGAGCAGAAAUAAAAAUAGCGAAGAAAACAUUCAAUCGAAAAUACCGUUUCAUAAGUUUGACGGCGUCAUUAAUUUAUUCCACGAGGUGGCCAUGUUCUCCGAUCCAUCAUAUUCGCUUGUUCAGACCCAGAAUUUUCUUAAACGUUGUUUGAGAAAUGCCAAACAACGUUUCUCAGAAAUAAAAGGAAUAAGAGCUUCCGUUGCAAGAAAGAGGCGUAGGAGAGUUACGAAACAAUCUGUUCUAAGUGAUGAAGAGGAAAGGCAGUAUGAAGAAGAACCAUUUGUGGAAUACGAAGAACUUGUGAAAGAUUAAGAAGAGUUGAAUCAGGAUGAAGUAGAAGAACUGCUAGCUGAAAACAAUCUACAGGGAAGAAUGGAUAUUAUUCAAAAUAAUAUUUCGGUUAAAGAAUACUUGGUAGAAGAAUUUUGAUGCAGGAGUAGAAGACUACAAAACUGUUAUUGUUUUACCUUUGUUAUACUAAACAAAGGUUAUAAAAUCGGUCGAAAAACGCAAAAUAGAUCCAUGAUCCGGAGGGCCAAAUCGUAUAUACCAUUCGACUCAGCUCGACGAACUGAGCAAUGUCUGUUCGUGUGUAUGUGUGUGUAUAACGCAAUAUCCGAUUUUAAUGGUCCUAUACGCAAACGAAAGCUACUGUGCUCCCCCAGAAUGCUACCGAGUGGAUUUUUGAUUAGUGGCUUAGAUUUUAAAGUAUUGAUCAAAGUGUAUUUUUUAUAUAAGAAAUUUAACUUUUAAGGCAAAAUUAAUGGCACGGAGAGCCAUGUGCUGUAUACCAAUUUGCUCAGAUCGACGAAUUGAACAUUUUUUGUAUGUUUGUGUAUGUGUGCCUGUACGAAUGUAUGUGUAAAUAUGUUUUUUUUUUACUCAUCUAUAGUUUAUUUGACACGGCACAAAUACAAUUCAAUGUUUAACGGCGCCAAUUAUAUCUGGUAGCUUACUUUCUAAAGUAUCUUAAUAACUAAAAGCAAAUUUUUUAUCCUCGCUGCCGACUACGAGCUGAAACUAAAUCUAACUUAAAGCUAGAAUAUUUUGCAUUAAAAGCACAGGUUUGCUGUUUGAUGGUUUUCAUUGCCAUAGGUAAGCAGCAUAUUAAAUUUGUUCCGCUGCUGGGCCAAGAUAUUACGGACUGGCAUAUUGGGUUGUUUCCAUCGGGCCUUGAGAGUAUCGUGCGGGUCUGAUUGCUGUUUCCGGAUCCGGGGUCUUAACGUGUUCUUGUCGUUUGGUUGGAUGUAGGCGGAAGGGAAUAGGAUUAAACUGGGGUGUGGAUGGAUUUCAGGAAAACGUAUAUAAGGGACAUGUAGGAUAGGUCACGGCUCGCCAAGACAUCACGAACAGGAACAGCCGGCUGCCUACCUUCAGCCUGCAGGGAAGCUAUUAAUCUAGACCUGGCGUCACGGUGUACAGGGCAUGACCAAACAACGUGCUCUAUGUCGUGAUAACCUUCACCACAGGCACAGAUACCACUCUCCCCGAGCCCAACACGACGGAGAUGCGCGUCAAAUCUAUAGUGAUUGGACAUAAGCCGGGACAUCACGCAAAUGAAAUUCCGACCUACAUCCAACCCCUUGAACCACGGGUUCGUCGAUACCUUGGGGAUUAUGGAAUGUAACCACCUUCCCAGUUCCCCCUUGGUCCAAGAAUUUUGCCAACUGAUGAUCGUAUUCUGACGUACAAAUGCGAAAAAUUCCUUAAAGGCAAUUGGUCUUACAUAAAUAUCACCGUUUGUUGCGCCCACCUUAGCCAAAGAGUCCGCUUUCUCAUUACCCGGUAUCGAGCAGUGAGAAGGGACCCACGCUAAGGUAAUCUGAGUAGAUUUUUCGGAUAAAGCACUCAGAUGUUUCCGUAUUUUCCCCAGGAAAUACGGAGAGUGCUCAACAUCUUUCAUCGAUCGGAGAGCCUCAAUGGAACUGAAACUGUCCGUAAAGAUGAAAUAAUGGUCCUUGGGCAUUUUUUCGAUAAUCCCUAGGGUGUACUGAAUUGCAGCUAAUUCUGCGACGUAAACAGAAGCAGGAUUAUCGAGCUUAUGGGAGACGGUUAAAUUGUUAUUGAAGAUACCGAAGCCAGUGGACCCAUCAAGAAGUGAUCCGUCAGUGUAGUACAUAUUGUCGCAGUUGAUGUUUCGAUAUUUAUUGGAAAAAAUUUUAGGGAUCUGCUGCACGCGUAAAUGAUCCGGGAUUCCACGAGUUUCUUCUAUCAUGGAUGUAUCGAAAAACACAGUAGAAUCAGAAGUAUUUGAUAAGUCGACACGAUUUGGAAUAUUCGAAGAAGGGUUAGUAUUUUGGGACAUGUGAUUGAAAUACAAUGUCAUAAAACGGGUUUGAGAAUUAAGUUCGAUUAACCUUUCAAAAUUUUCAAUCACGGGACGGUUCGAGACCUCACAUUUGAUUAGAAUACGAGAAGACAGGCUCCAGAAGCGGGUUUUCAAUGGUAGUACUCCAGCUAAGAUCUCCAAACUCAUCGUAUGGGUCGAUUGCAUGCAACCCAAGGCGAUAC